GAUGAUGGUGACCUAAACCCUCACCAGAGUAACAAUUGGAGGGCAAGUCUGGUGCCAGCAGCCGCGGUAAUUCCAGCUCCAAUAGCGUAUAUUAAACUUGUUGCAGUUAAAAAGCUCGUAGUUGAAUUUUUGCGUGGUGUUAAUAUUGACUGAUGUCGAGAUUGCACUUCGCUUUUGGGAUUUUUCCCUUUUUACUUUGAGAAAAUUAGAGUGUUUCAAGCAGACUUUUGUCUUGAAUACUUCAGCAUGGAAUAAUAGAGUAGGACUUUGGUUCUAUUUUGUUGGUUUGUGAACCUUAGUAAUGGUUAAUAGGAACGGUUGGGGGCAUUCGUAUUUAACUGUCAGAGGUGAAAUUCUUAGAUUUGUUAAAGACGAACUACUGCGAAAGCAUUUGCCAAGGACGUUUUCAUUAAUCAAGAACGAAAGUUAGGGGAUCGAAGACGAUCAGAUACCGUCGUAGUCU
rnacentral:rRNA from 1 species